rnacentral:rRNA from 1 species
CCCUUAGAUGUUCUGGGCCGCACGCGCGCUACACUGAUGCAUUCAACGAGUUUCUUCCUGGUCCGAGAGGAAUGGGUAACCUUUUGAAAGUGCAUCAUGAUAGGGAUAGACUAUUGCAAUUAUUGGUCUUCAACGAGGAAUUCCUAGUAGACGUAGUUCAUCAGACUGCAUCGAUUACGUCCCUGCCCUUUGUACACACCGCCCGUCGCUCCUACCGAUUGAAUGCUCAGGUGAGCCAUUCGGACUUUCAUCAUGCUGGUUUCCAGUUUUGAUGAAGGAAAGUCUUGCGAACCUUAUCAUUUAGAGGAAGGAGAAGUCGUAACA